rnacentral:rRNA from 1 species
GACGAACGCUGGCGGCGUGCCUAAUACAUGCAAGUCGAGCGGACCAAACAGGAGCUUGCUCUUGUUUGGUUAGCGGCGGACGGGUGAGUAACACGUGGGUAACCUGCCCGUAAGACCGGGAUAACUCCGGGAAACCGGAGCUAAUACCGGAUAACAUCGAAGACCGCAUGGUCUUUGGUUGAAAGGCGGCUUCGGGUGCCACUUACGGAUGGGCCCGCGGCGCAUUGGGUAGAUGGUGAGGUAAAGGCUCACCAAGGCGACGAUGCGUAGCCGGCCUGAGGGGGUGACCGGCCACACUGGGACGGAGACACGGCCCAGACUCCUACGGGAGGCAGCAGUAGGGAAUCUUCCGCAAUGGACGAAAGUCUGACGGAGCGACGCGGAGGGAGCGAAGAAGGUCUUCGGAUCGUAAAGCUCUGUUGUUAGGGAAGAAGAAGCGCCGUUCGAACAGGGCGGCGCGGUGACGGUACCUAACGAGAAAGCCCCGGCUAACUACGUG